rnacentral:rRNA from 1 species
AGUGGCGAACGGGUGAGUAACGCGUGAGUAUCUGCCCUUAGGAGGGGGACAACAGUUGGAAACGACUGCUAAUACCCCAUAUGUCUACGGAUGAAAGAUUUUAUCGCCUGAGGAUGAGUUCGCGUCUGAUUAGCUAGUUGGUGAGGUAAAGGCUCACCAAGGCGACGAUCAGUAGCUGGUCUGAGAGGAUGAUCAGCCACACUGGGACUGAGACACGGCCCAGACUCCUACGGGAGGCAGCAGUGGGGAAUUUUCCGCAAUGGGGGCAACCCUGACGGAGCAAUACCGCGUGCGGGAGGACGGCCUGUGGGUUGUAAACCGCUUUUCUCAGGGAAGAAGACCUGACGGUACCUGAGGAAUCAGCAUCGGCUAACUCCGUGCCAGCAGCCGCGGUAAUACGGAGGAUGCAAGCGUUAUCCGGAAUUAUUGGGCGUAAAGCGUCCGUAGGUGGUUAAUCAAGUCUGCUGUUAAAGAGCGGAGCUCAACUCCGUUUAAGCGGUGGAAACUGGUUGACUAGAGAGUGGUAGGGGUAGAGGGAAUUCCCAGUGUAGCGGUGAAAUGCGUAGAUAUUGGGAAGAACACCGGUGGCGAAAAGCGCUCUACUGCGCCACAUCUGACACUGAUGGACGAAAGCUAGGGGAGCGAAAGGGAUUAGAUACCCC